rnacentral:rRNA from 1 species
GCUUGAGCACGUAGGUGGGUUUGUAAGUCAGAUGUGAAAGCCUUCUGUUCAACGGAAGAAUUGCAUCUGAAACUACGAGUCUUGAGUGUAGGAGGGGAGAAUGGAACUUCUGGUGGAGCGGUGAAAUCCGUAGAUAUCAGAAGGAACGCCGGCGGCGAAAGCGAUUCUCUGGCCUAUUACUGACACUCAGUGUGCGAAAGCUAGGGGAGCAAACGGGAUUAGAUACCCCGGUAGUCCUAGCCGUAAACGAUGGGCACUAAGUAGAGGGAAUUACCGAUGUUCUCUCUGCCGUAGCUAACGCAUUAAGUGCCCCGCCUGGGGAGUACGGCCGCAAGGCUAAAACUCAAAAGAAUUGACGGGGGCUCGCACAAGCGGUGGAGCAUGUGGCUUAAUUCGAUGCAACGCGAAGAACCUUACCGGGGCUUGACAUGGUAGAAGUAGGAACCUGAAAGGGUAACGAACGGUAUCCAGUCCGUAGCUAUCACAGGUGUUGCAUGGCUGUCGUCAGCUCGUGUCGUGAGACGUUGGGUUAAGUCCCCUAACGAGCGAAACCCUUGUUUUUAGUUACCAGCGGGUUAUGCCGGGUACUCUAGAAAGACUGCCGUCGUCAAGACGGAGGAAGGUGGGGAUGACGUCAAGUCAUCAUGGCCCUUAUGCCCCGGGCUGCACACGUGCUACAAUGGUCGGUACAAACGGAAGCGAAGCCGAGAGGUGAAGCGAAUCCAAGC